GCUGGCUCUCCUCUGGAGUGUGUGUGCACGCUUGUCUCAUCUUUAUUAUUUCUCCACUGNGCACAUUUUGUAGAUCCUGSAAAGGCCUUUUAUGAAUGWUCUCAUUCGAGUAGGGACUGCUGUCGCUUUUUCUUUGAAAGGCCGGCUUUGCCUUUUUGCCUUCMAGGCCUAUGUCAUUUUCCNNAACCUCUCAAACGAGUUUAGAAUGUCUUAUUAUGUGAAAUAUACAACUUUCAUUCAACGGAUCUCUUGGCUCUCGCAUCGAUGAAGAACGCANCGAAAUGCGAUAAGUAAUGUGAAUUGCAGAAUUCAGUGAAUCAUCGAAUCUUUGAACGCAUCUUGCGCUCCUUGGAAUUCCGAGGAGCAUGCCUGUUUGAGUGUCAUUUGACUUAUCAACCGCUUCAUGGUGAACAUGGACGUGGCUUUGNAUGUGGGGGUCUUUGCAGGCUUUUUGAAUUCUCAAAGGUCGGCUCCCCUGAACGCAUUAGNGGCAUCUGAGCUGCUACUAUAGGUGUGAUAAAUUAUCUAUGCCUUUGGUAUGCUGCAUGAACAGAUUGCGCUGCUUACAACGACGAAAAUAACUUGACAAACUUGACCUCAAAUCAGGUAGGACUACCCGCUGAACUUAAGCAUAUCAAUAAGCGGAGGAAAAGAAACUAACAAGGAUUCCCCUAGUANCUGCAAGUGAAGCGGGAAGAGCUCAAAUUUGAAAUCUGGCGG
rnacentral:rRNA from 1 species